GUUUAACGGCCGCGGUAUCCUGACCGUGCGAAGGUAGCGUAAUCAUUUGUCUUUUAAAUAGAGACCUGUAUGAAUGGCAUAACGAGGGUUUAACUGUCUCCUUCCCCUAGUCAAUGAAAUUGAUCUGCCCGUGCAGAAGCGGGCAUAAUAACAUAAGACGAGAAGACCCUAUGGAGCUUUAGACAAAAGGCCACACAUGUAAAGACCAAAAUUAACCAAAAGGAUAUAAUAUCGACAAAACCCAAUGUAAAUUGGUCCAAAUGUCUUCGGUUGGGGCGACCAUGGGGGAAAACAAAGCCCCCACGAGGAAUAGGGGUAAUCCCCUAAGCUAAGAGGAACACUUCUAAGCAACAGAAAAUCUGACCAUUAUGAUCCAGGUUGUUAAACCUGAUCAACGAACCAAGUUACCCUAGGGAUAACAGCGCAAUCCUUUCCCAGAGUCCAUAUCGACGAAAGGGUUUACGACCUCGAUGUUGGAUCAGGGACAUCCUAAUGGUGCAGCCGCUAUUAAGG
rnacentral:rRNA from 1 species